rnacentral:lncRNA from 1 species
UUCCGCGGCGGUCAAGGCGAAGCAGGUGGAUGGAAAGAAUGUCACAUGCCUCUCCCGCGCAUGCGCACAAAUUCGACAGUUGGCCGAGUCGAGGCAAAGAGGAAGACCAUCGCAAUCGCUAUCAGUUCCUUUGCGACGCCGGCAUGGUACGGUCGAGCGAUGUAGGUGUUUCGUGGCGUAUUGUAGCAGCAAUCUAGCUAUUUUUGCUGCUAUUUAUGCUUAUGCUGUGUUGUGGCUAAUUCAUCGAUGCAAGCCAACCAGCAAGGUGUUUGCGAAGCGCACGGUGCUUUCUUCGUUCCGUGAUGUGAGCGUUUCUGCAACUUCUCUGCCAGCUGCGAUGCAGUGUCGUGUGAAGUGAUUUAAUAUUGGCACUGACCGUGUUUUAAACUGCACAAAUAGCGAACAGCUGUUCCUCAAGACUGCUAUGCGCCGAAGUUUUCUCUAUCUCCAAAUUAUAUUAAAAACUGCCCCGCGUCAUGGGGUUCGCUUGAAGUUGCUAUAAACACGAAGCGUACAAAUACUUCGUUUUCACAGCGUUCGCAAUGACCUAAGGUCUGGUAAAUAUUGUCUGAUCAUGAACUCAUUCUUUGCUCUUUCCUACUCUGGCUGCACAGGAUGAGAAACAGUAAAAUAUUGAGCGUAUAGCUUCACGGUUCACAAUUACAUAUUUUUCAGCGAACCGGUUCACAAUGACAUAGGUUGCACUGGAUAGACAAGUGCGAAUGUGAAAGAAAAUCAUUCGCACCUGUUUAACCACUGCAACCUAUGUCAUUGUGAAGCGGUAUAUUUUGACACUGACAUUUUGUUUUCGAGUAAAAAUAAACGAACACGUCAAAUUACAGAAGCGUUCCAUAUAAUGUGUGCUUAAAUAUGCAUCAGUCAGCCAUUGGUUGCUAUCACUGACAAAGCAUUUGUAUUCUUGAAUACUGCUUCAAGCUCUGUCAUCUGUUUAUAUAAAAAUGGAUGACACGUUUUGCACAUGCUCGGUGCAGCUAGCUGGCGCUGUUACGUUCAUUCCUUCCAAAAAUAACUAGCUUUGAGUAAGCGCUCGCGUGUCCACCUUCUCUGCGUCCGUGUCUAUUGUGCGUGCUACGAAUUUCACCAUGAAUAAACCAUGUAAUUAACUUUUUAGUGAGUAACUCAUUUAUGCAAGUAAUUGGUAGACAAACCCAUUUUGUACACUUUCCGAAUUUUAAUAACACGUAGUAAAUACAACGCAGCAAAGGAUAUGCAUUGAAUAGUGUGCCCCAUCCUUGCCAUCUCCUCUGCAAGUAAACAGGGAUGACGGUCACAAUUUUAGCAUUCAUGUGAACCUCAAAAAGCUGUUCUAUGUAUGUGAUAUGCUAACCUGAACAUGAUGUUAACACUGACCAUCUUGUUUCUGUGCAGGGUUGGUUCAUUCUGCAAGCAUUCUGAGACAUCAGCUUGCAUAAUCGAUGCUUGCUAGAGAUUAUGCGACAGCUGCCAUGCCGUAAUCAACUAAGUCAUUAUUCAUUUUUUUAAAUUUCUCUACUAUUCUCUACUACUUCUCUCACAAUUCUGUGUAAAUAUUUUCGUGUGAAUAAACUUCUUUCAGUGCAAA